rnacentral:rRNA from 1 species
UAGGGAAUCUUCCGCAAUGGACGCAAGUCUGACGGAGCAACGCCGCGUGAGUGAAGAAGGAUUUCGGUUCGUAAAACUCUGUUGUUAGAGAAGAACAGCGCAUAGAGUAACUGUUAUGCGUGUGACGGUAUCUAACCAGAAAGCCACGGCUAACUACGUGCCAGCAGCCGCGGUAAUACGUAGGUGGCAAGCGUUGUCCGGAUUUAUUGGGCGUAAAGCGAGCGCAGGCGGUCAAUUAAGUCUGAUGUGAAAGCCCCCGGCUCAACCGGGGAGGGUCAUUGGAAACUGGUUGACUUGAGUGCAGAAGAGGAGAGUGGAAUUCCAUGUGUAGCGUUGAAAUGCGUAGAUAUAUGGAGGAACACCAGUGGCGAAGGCGACUCUCUGGUCUGUAACUGACGCUGAGGCUCGAAAGCGUGGGUAGCAAACAGG